GUUCAACUGUGCAAUGGAAAGCCUUAUACGAAAAAAAAAUCUGUUCCUAAAUGAGAGUAACCCGACAGCUACGGGCCUCAAGGCAGCUGCCUCCCUCUGGCUUUGCCUGCGUUUCCUAUGGCUGCCCGUCCUAUGGCUGGCGGCUUGCGCCGUGCUGUGGUUCCAGGUGAAUGUUACUCUUCACGACCGCUUUUCCCAGCGCACCGGCAAAAUUCCAGUUCCUUGUCCUGUCCCUAAGGGCACUCGGGAGCGGAACCACCGAGAAAGCCCGGUCUGCCAGUUAAAACAUAAACAUGAAGAAAUUAAAGCUUAAAGAACUGGAAAGCUCUCUUCAACAAGUUGAUACUUUUGAAAGUCCAAAACUACUCCUUGAACAGUAUCCAACAAGACCUCAUAUUGCAGCAUGUAUGCUUUAUACAAUUCACAAUACUUUUGAUGAUAUUGAAAACAAAACAAUUGCAGAUUUAGGAUGCGGUUGCGGCAUGCUCAGCAUUGGAAGUGCAAUGUUAGGAGCAGGAUUCUGUGUGGGGCUUGACAUAGAUGCAGAUGCACUGGAAAUAUUUAAUAGCAAUAUUGAAGACUUUGAGCUCACGAAUGUCAACAUGGUUCAGUGUGACAUCUGUUCUUUAUCUGACAGCAUGUCAGAUACUUUUGACACAGUUAUUAUGAACCCUCCGUUUGGUACCAAGCAUAACAAAGGAAUUGACAUGAUUUUUCUGAAAACUGCUCUACAAAUGGCAAAAACAGCUGUAUAUUCCCUUCACAAAACUUCAACACGACAGCAUAUUCAAAAGAAAGCAGCAGAAUGGGAAGUGAAGAUGGAAGUCUUAGCAGAAUACAAGCAGGCACUUAAUAAAGCUCUGAGAAAUACAUAUUCUGUGCAAAAUUCGGUUUGUUCCUGGACUAGAUUUUGUCUUCAAGCAGAAGCUACCUCUCUUCCUGCUUCAAAGGGCAUGUUGCUGAAAAAGUAAAGCAAAGCACAGAACUUAGGUUUGACUUACCAGCAUCAUACAAGUUCCAUAAGAAGAAAUCAGUUGACAUUGAAGUGGAUUUCAUUAGAUUUUCUGCCAAAAAAGUCCUGAAUUGAGGCAGGUAUUUAAAAUCUACUGAAAAUGGAACAAUAAAACCACUAAUUUUUUAAA